rnacentral:rRNA from 1 species
GCUGGCGGCGUGCCUAAUACAUGCAAGUCGAACGGUCUUUUCUAUGGAAGCUUGCUUCCACUGAGAAGAUAGUGGCGAACGGGUGAGUAACACGUGGGUAACCUGCCCAUAAGAGGGGGAUAACAUCCGGAAACGGGUGCUAAUACCGCAUAGUUUUCUUGAUCGCAUGAUCGGGAAAGGAAAGACGGCCUUUGUGCUGUCGCUUAUGGAUGGACCCGCGGCGUAUUAGUUAGUUGGUGAGGUAACGGCUCACCAAGACGAUGAUACGUAGCCGACCUGAGAGGGUGAUCGGCCACAUUGGGACUGAGACACGGCCCAAACUCCUACGGGAGGCAGCAGUAGGGAAUCUUCCGCAAUGGACGAAAGUCUGACGGAGCAACGCCGCGUGAGUGAAGAAGGUUUUUCCGGAUCGUAAAACUCUGUUGUCAGAGAAGAACAAGUUGGAGAGUAACUGCUCCAGCCUUGACGGUAUCUGACCAGAAAGCCACGGCUAACUACGUGCCAGCAGCAGC